rnacentral:rRNA from 1 species
AACACGUGGUAACCUACCUAUAAGACUGGAAUAACUUCGGGAAACCGGAGCUAAUGCCGGAUAACAUUUGGAACCGCAUGGUUCUAAAGUAAAAGAUGGUUUUGCUAUCACUUAUAGAUGGACCCGCGCCGUAUUAGCUAGUUGGUAAGGUAACGGCUUACCAAGGCAACGAUACGUAGCCGACCUGAGAGGGUGAUCGGCCACACUGGAACUGAGACACGGUCCAGACUCCUACGGGAGGCAGCAGUAGGGAAUCUUCCGCAAUGGACGAAAGUCUGACGGAGCAACGCCGCGUGAGUGAUGAAGGUUUUCGGAUCGUAAAACUCUGUUAUUAGGGAAGAACAAAUGUGUAAGUAACUGUGCACAUCUUGACGGUACCUAAUCAGAAAGCCACGGCUAACUACGUGCCAGCAGCCGCGGUAAUACGUAGGUGGCAAGCGUUAUCCGGAAUUAUUGGGCGUAAAGCGCGCGUAGGCGGUUUCUUAAGUCUGAUGUGAAAGCCCACGGCUCAACCGUGGAGGGUCAUUGGAAACUGGGAAACUUGAGUACAGAAGAGGAAAGUGGAAUUCCAUGUGUAGCGGUGAAAUGCGCAGAGAUAUGGAGGAACACCAGUGGCGAAGGCGACUUUCUGGUCUGUAACUGACGCUGAUGUGCGAAAGCGUGGGGAUCAAACAGGAUUAGAUACCCUGGUAGUCCACGCCGUAAACGAUGAGUGCUAAGUGUUAGGGGGUUUCCGCCCCUUAGUGCUGCAUAACG